rnacentral:rRNA from 1 species
GAUGAACGCUGGCGGCGUGCCUAAUACAUGCAAGUCGAGCGAACGGACGAGAAGCUUGCUUCUCUGAUGUUAGCGGCGGACGGGUGAGUAACACGUGGAUAACCUACCUAUAAGACUGGGAUAACUUCGGGAAACCGGAGCUAAUACCGGAUAAUAUUUUGAACCGCAUGGUUCAAAAGUGAAAGACGGUCUUGCUGUCACUUAUAGAUGGAUCCGCGCUGCAUUAGCUAGUUGGUAAGGUAACGGCUUACCAAGGCAACGAUGCAUAGCCGACCUGAGAGGGUGAUCGGCCACACUGGAACUGAGACAGGGUCCAGACUCCUACGGGAGGCAGCAGUCGGGAAUCUUCCGCAAUGGGCGAAAGCCUGACGGAGCAACGCCGCGUGAGUGAUGAAGGUCUUCGGAUCGUAAAACUCUGUUAUUAGGGAAGAACAUAUGUGUAAGUAACUGUGCACAUCUUGACGGUACCUAAUCAGAAAGCCACGGCUAACUACGUG